AGGACGAACGCUGGCGGCGUGCGUAACACAUGCAAGUCGAACGAGUGUAGCAAUACACGAGUGGCGGACGGGUGAGGAACACGUGGCUACCAACCUGGCACUGGGGAAUACCCGUGAGAAAUCAUGGUUAAUACCGCAUACGCCCGCAAGGGGAAAGUCGCAAGACGGUGCGAGACGGGGCUGCGCCCGAUUAGCUAGUUGGUGGGGUAAUGGCCUACCAAGGCGUCGAUCGGUAACUGGUCUGAGAGGAUGGCCAGUCACAUUGGGAUUGAGAACGGCCCAAAUCCCUACGGGGAGCAGCAGUGAGGAAUCUUCCACAAUGGGCGCAAGCCUGAUGGAGCGACGCCGCGUGCGGGAUGACACCGUUUCGGGGCGUAAACCGCUUUUCGUGGGGGACGAGACAGGACGGUACCCCAGGAAGAAGUCUCGGCUAACACGCGCCAGCAGCCGC
rnacentral:rRNA from 1 species